CCAGGCCUAGGCUUGCUGGACACAUGGCCCCAGCCUAAGUCUUUUACUCAGAAACUGAUGAAAAUGUUUUCCUUAAAUUUCACGUUCUUACAGCUUCACCACCAUCUGAAUAAAACACUUUGGCUUCUUUGCCAGUGGGUCAGCGUCUUCUGGAUCUCUGGAGAUCUUCAAGAAAGUGAGAUCUUCAAAAAAUUUCAAUGCAACAAUGAAGUGUAGUGAUUGGAGAAGUAAAGUAUACAGGAUGAGAGAGGUUUAGGUGAAAAACAAUCAGCUCAUUGUUGUGUUGAUGCAAGAAAGAAAGAAAGAAAGAAAGAAAGAAAGAAAGAAAGAAAGAAAGAAGGAAGGAA